GUUCUUUUUCUGAAAUGCGGUGUUAAAUUGGAUCGAUACAGAGAAGAUUAACAUGGCCCCUGCGAAAGGAUGACACGCAAAUCCGUGAAGCGCUCCAUAUAUUU